rnacentral:rRNA from 1 species
UAGGGAAUCUUCGGCAAUGGACGAAAGUCUGACCGAGCAACGCCGCGUGAGUGAAGAAGGUUUUCGGAUCGUAAAACUCUGUUGUUAGAGAAGAACAAGGACGUUAGUAACUGAACGUCCCCUGACGGUAUCUAACCAGACAGCCACGGCUAACUACGUGCCAGCAGCCGCGGUAAUACGUAGGUGGCAAGCGUUGUCCGGAUUUAUUGGGCGUAAAGCGAGCGCAGGCGGUUUCUUAAGUCUGAUGUGAAAGCCCCCGGCUCAACCGGGGAGGGUCAUUGGAAACUGGGAGACUUGAGUGCAGAAGAGGAGAGUGGAAUUCCAUGUGUAGCGGUGAAAUGCGUAGAUAUAUGGAGGAACACCAGUGGCGAAGGCGGCUCUCUGGUCUGUAACUGACGCUGAGGCUCGAAAGCGUGGGGAGCAAACAGG